rnacentral:lncRNA from 1 species
UCCGAGACUCAUGGGACCCCGACCAAACAUGCCAAAACACCCCAUAACAUAAUUCAAGCUUGUGCCAACCUUCAGAACGCUCAAAACAACAUCAAAACAUCAAAUCACCCUCAGAUUCAAGCCUAAGAAUUCCAAAACUUCCGAAAUCCGAAUUCAAUCAAAAAGUCGACCAAACGACAUCCAAAUGACCUGAAAUUUUGCACACACAUCAAAAAUGACAUAACGAAGCUAUAGAAACUCUCGGAAUUCCAUUCCGACCCUCGGAUCAAAAUCUCACCUAUCAACCGGAAUUCGCCAAAAUAUUAACUUUACCAAUUCAAGCCAAAUCCUUCCACGGACUUCUAAAAUGCAUUUCGAUCGCGCUCCUAAGUCAUAAAUCACCCAACGAAACUAUACAAAUCAUAAAAUUUCCGAUCCGAGCUCAUAUACAAAUAAGUCAACUCUUAGUCAAACCUUUCAAAUUCAAAGCUUUUAACUGAGACUGUUCCUUCAAAUUCAUUCCGAUUUUUCCUGAAAACCAAAACCAACGAUCUACAUCAGUCAUAAUACGUUACACGGGUCAAGUCAUGCCCGGGAACUGGCGAUCAAAGUGCAAAAGUUCAAAACGACCGGUCGGGUCACAUCCUCCCCCACUUAAACACAUGUUCGUCCUCGAACGUGCCCAGAGUUGUUCCAAAAGCCAACCAAUUGCUGAAUAACUUUACCAUGCAUAUACCCGGGGGUGAUCCCACGUUACCCUACCUCAUAUAGGUUCGAUAACACAAUAUAACUGAAAUUUCACAAUCCAUCCUAGUCCAUAAACCAUAGAACCACAUUUCUGCUUCUAAAAUCCUCAAUACGAUCAGAACCUCACACCUAUACUUUGAAUAGACCCAAACUAGCUGUAAUAACCCAUGCCUACAACCUCAAGUGAAGUUAUCCGAUAUACCACGUAACUCAAACACAUGUAGCGAUAACUUCCAUUCGCAACAGCUGCACACAACACCCGAAUACCGGUAGAAACCUCUUACCAACUAAAGUCUCAUUCCAACACUUCCAUAUACUGCCAAUAAUAAAUGAAACACGCAAUAAAUCAUAACCAUCUCUCAGAUCAGUCAUCCAUAAGGUUACUUCUUCUUUGGCAAGGACCAUAGCAAAUUUCUGAAUCGAACCUCGAUAUUUACCCAUCAAACAUGCUGAAAUCGAAUCCGUUUGUAUUUAUUAAUGAUCCCCAACGAUCUCCUCUCCAACACAUUACUCUGGUGACAUGACACAUCCAUACAAACCUAAGCCACAACUUGCAUAAUACACGCAUCAAUACGCAACAAUUCGAACAUACUCAAAUCAUGAAAAUAACUCAAAUGAAAGAGUUGAACCUCAAGUUCACUAGUACCACCACAACACAAGACUGAGAACCCGUCUCACAUCAUAGGAACAGAACACACGAAUCUAACCUGCAAGGUCAUACCUCCACAUAUAUUCACUGCAAUGCGCGACCUUAUUUAAACACUGCUCCACAUGGAACCACCUUAAGUCACUAUACUCGAAAUCGACAACCACACACAAUUUGAUAUCUGGAACCAAAGCAAUUCAUUAUACUCACGGUGAAGCAAAUAACAUACACCACGCACACCCGAUAGGACAUGACCGAUAUGCCGUUCACCGAGCAACACCAAAUUACUCUUCCCGCUCGACUUCCAUUAUGAAACUCCGAUAGAACCGCACCAUAGGUGCCUAUAACCAACAGAUCAUAUCAUCUCACAACCUCUAAUACCCAAUCAUUCCAUUAUAGAUACUUUAAAAUUUCCCUGUGCCACCAAGCAAACCCGAAUAUCACCAGUCGAUCUAAAAAGAAGGUGCCGCAAUACUACCGAAGUGCUAUCAACUUAAUAACAUUGCCCUUUUACUAAAACAUAGACUCUCGUCAAAUCUUUUCCAAUUACCAGUACCAUUUCCUUAAUCAUCUGAGGCUACUCGCUGCCUAAGAGUUUUAUAAACUUCCUUUCAGAAUUGAACUGUAACUCAUCUAGCCAAGAACUUCCAUUGAUCCUAUCUAGAAGAAAAAUCAUUACAUAUCCUAUGUUUCUCACACUCGGAGAAAUUGCACCUCUCCAACCACGGUAGAAAUCAAUAAGAACUCUCCCAAUUCCAUUUGCACAAAUUCAACUGCCAGGACUGAAUCCUUCUAACUAGACCAAGCUAAGCAAGCCAUCAAAGCCCAAGAGCAUUGUUUCAAAAUAGCUGUAGGAACUCAUUACCUCAAACACACACAAGGAAUUCAUCAUAUCCUUACCAUACCGAUUUGGUCUACUAACAAGAUACCCCAUCUAUCUAAAUUCCUACUGAUUCAUCUUCAACUUGAUAUUCCUCCUUGCUAUAGCACCACAAUUUCCUCAACCUAGGCUUAUCACACGAAACCCAAGCAUAAAGCUACACCGUCUAAGGCUCCUAAGCCGCUGAAUACUCUUUAAGUGUUCCCCAAAGCCAUUACCUUCACCUUCCCAAUACUGAUAUAUAGAAUCCCAUAAUUAAUAUAGAAAAUACCACAAGUCUUGCCAUCUUUCACUGAAAACUCAGUUUCUAUCCAUAAGUACAACUUAGAAGCCUCCAGUUAUUGCAUGUAGAGUUUUGAACAUAAUAGGACCAUUCUCUAGAGUCAUCCACACUACUCAAACCGUAGUUAGAUUGAUUAAACAAACCAAACAACCUGUGCUUCAUUAGCACUCCGACAUUGCAGAAUGUGACCUCAUUCCAAUAUAACCAAGAAACUUCUUGCCCUAUGCACCGGGCAUUCCUUACCAACCACAACUCAAGUCAUUCCCCGAUUCUCGUACACCCAUAAAGCAUA